rnacentral:rRNA from 1 species
UACCAGCACCCCGAGUGGUCGGGACGAUUAUUGGGCCUAGAGCAUCCGUAGCCGGUUCUACAAGUCUUCCGUUAAAUCCACCUGCUUAACAGAUGGGCUGCGGAGGAUACUAUAGAGCUAGGAGGCGGGAGAGGCAAGCGGUACUUAGUGGGUAGGGGUAAAAUCCGUUGAUCCAUUGAAGACCACCAGUGGCGAAGGCGGCUUGCCAGAACGCACUCGACGGUGAGGGAUGAAAGCUGGGGGAGCAAACCGG